rnacentral:rRNA from 1 species
UGCGAGGGGAGCAAGCGUUGUUCGGAUUUACUGGGCGUAAAGGGCGCGUAGGCGGCGCAACAAGUCACUUGUGAAAUCUCCGGGCUUAACUCGGAACGGUCAAGUGAAACUGUCGUGCUAGAGUACAGAAGGGGCAACUGGAAUUCUCGGUGUAGCGGUGAAAUGCGUAGAUAUCGAGAGGAACACCUGCGGCGAAGGCGGGUUGCUGGGCUGAUACUGACGCUGAGGCGCGAAAGCCAGGGGAGCGAACGGG